AGCAGUCGCCGCGGUAAUACGGAGGGUGCAAGCGUUAAUCGGAAUUACUGGGCGUAAAGCGCACGCAGGCGGUUUGUUAAGUCAGAUGUGAAAUCCCCGAGCUUAACUUGGGAACUGCAUUUGAAACUGGCAAGCUAGAGUCUUGUAGAGGGGGGUAGAAUUCCAGGUGUAGCGGUGAAAUGCGUAGAGAUCUGGAGGAAUGCCGGUGGCGAAGGCGGCCCCCUGGACAAAGACUGACGCUCAGGUGCGAAAGCGUGGGGAGCAAACAGGAUUAGAUACCCGCGUAGUCCCUGUCUCUUAUAC
rnacentral:rRNA from 1 species